GGUCUAAUAAAUAUUAUUUUAGAGAUAUUUCUUCUACCUUCCUGAUGGAUAUGAGAUGUUCAUGAAUCUUAAGAUAUUUUUUUUAGAAAAAAAAUUUCUUGAUGAAGGAACUGAUGCCCUUAAGAACAAGCUUGGUGAAGCUUGAUAGAUAGAGGAACCGAUUCUGACACAAACCAAUAAAAUCGAAGUUGAUUAGAUCAAUUUCGGAGUCCGAUGUAAAGGCA
rnacentral:lncRNA from 1 species